UACGGAGGAUCCAAGCGUUAUCCGGAAUUACUGGGCGUAAAGAGUUGCGUAGGUGGCAUAGUAAGCAGGUAGUGAAAGCGUUCCGCUCAACGGAAUAUACAUUAUUUGAACUGCUAAGCUCGAGGGCGAGAGAGGUAGCUAGAAUUCCUUGUGUAGGAGUGAAAUCCGUAGAUAUAAGGAGGAAUACCGAUGGCGUAGGCAGGCUACUGGCUCGUCCCUGACACUAAGGCACGAAAGCGUGGGGAGCGACCGGG
rnacentral:rRNA from 1 species